AUAGCUCAACAGUUAAGAGCACUGGCUCCUCUUCCAGAGAACCCGGGUUCGAUCCCCGGU
rnacentral:tRNA from 1 species